rnacentral:rRNA from 1 species
GAUGAACGCUGACGGCGUGCCUAACACAUGCAAGUCAAGGAGAACGUAGCCUUCGGGUUAUUAUUAAACUGGCGCACGGGUGAGUAACGCGUAGAUUAUCUACCCCUAUCACAGACAUAACAUAUGGAAACGUAUGCUAAUAUCUGAUGAGGCCUACGGGUCAAAGACUUCGGUUGGAUAGGGAUGAGUCUGCGUCUGAUUAGCUAGUUGGUGAGGUAAAAGCUUACCAAGGCUUCGAUCAGUAACGGGUCUGAGAGGAUGAUCCGUCACACUGGAACUGAGACACGGUCCAG